UACGUAGGAUCCGAGCGUUGUCCGGAUUUACUGGGUGUAAAGGGCGUGUAGGUGGGUCUCUAAGUCGGUGGUGAAAGCCCGCAGCUUAACUGCGGAAUUGCCAUUGAUACUGGAGGUCUUGAGUACGGCAGAGGGAAAUGGAAUUCAUGGUGUAGCGGUGAAAUGUGUAGAUAUCAUGAAGAACACCGGUAGCGAAGGCGGUUUCCUGGUCCGUAACUGACACUGAGGCACGAAAGCGUGGGGAGCGAACAGG
rnacentral:rRNA from 1 species